UGCAAGUCGAACGCUUCUUUCCUCCCGAGUGCUUGCACUCAAUUGGAAAGAGGAGUGGCGGACGGGUGAGUAACACGUGGGUAACCUACCCAUCAGAGGGGGAUAACACUUGGAAACAGGUGCUAAUACCGCAUAACAGUUUAUGCCGCAUGGCAUAAGAGUGAAAGGCGCUUUCGGGUGUCGCUGAUGGAUGGACCCGCGGUGCAUUAGCUAGUUGGUGAGGUAACGGCUCACCAAGGCCACGAUGCAUAGCCGACCUGAGAGGGUGAUCGGCCACACUGGGACUGAGACACGGCCCAGACUCCUACGGGAGGCAGCAGUAGGGAAUCUUCGGCAAUGGACGAAAGUCUGACCGAGCAACGCCGCGUGAGUGAAGAAGGUUUUCGGAUCGUAAAACUCUGUUGUUAGAGAAGAACAAGGACGUUAGUAACUGAACGUCCCCUGACGGUAUCUAACCAGAAAGCCACGGCUAACUACGUGCCAGCAGCCGCGGUAAUACGUAGGUGGCAAGCGUUGUCCGGAUUUAUUGGGCGUAAAGCGAGCGCAGGCGGUUUCUUAAGUCUGAUGUGAAAGCCCCCGGCUCAACCGGGGAGGGUCAUUGGAAACUGGGAGACUUGAGUACAGAAGAGGAGAGUGGAAUUCCAUGUGUAGCGGUGAAAUGCGUAGAU
rnacentral:rRNA from 1 species